UACGAAGGGUGCAAGCGUUACUCGGAAUUACUGGGCGUAAAGCGUGCGUAGGUGGUUUGUUAAGUCUGCUGUGAAAGCCCCGGGCUCAACCUGGGAAUGGCAGUGGAUACUGGCAAGCUAGAGUGCGGUAGAGGGGUGUGGAAUUCCCGGUGUAGCGGUGAAAUGCGUAGAGAUCGGGAGGAACACCAGUGGCGAAGGCGGCACCCUGGACCAGCACUGACACUGAGGUACGAAAGCGUGGGGAGCAAACAGG
rnacentral:rRNA from 1 species